CAGGCCUAACACAUGCAAGUCGAACGAGAACGGAUUAUAGCUUGCUAUAAUUGUCAGCUAAGUGGCGCACGGGUGAGUAAUAUAUAGUUAACCUGCCCUCAAGAAAGGAAUAACAGUUGGAAACGACUGCUAAUGCCCUAUAUGCCUUUAAUACAUAAGUAUGCAAGGGAAACGCUUUAGUGCUUGAGGAUGGGACUGUAUGGUAUCAGCUUGUUGGUGAGGUAAUGGCUCACCAAGGCUAUGACGCCUAACUGGUUUGAGAGGAUGAUCAGUCACACUGGAACUGAGACACGGUCCAGACUCCUACGGGAGGCAGCAGUGGGGAAUAUUGCACAAUGGACGAAAGUCUGAUGCAGCAACGCCGCGUGGAGGAUGACACAUUUCGGUGCGUAAACUCCUUUUAUAUGGGAAGUAAUGACGGUACCAUAUGAAUAAGCACCGGCUAACUCCGUGCCAGCAGCCGCGGUAAUACGGAGGGUGCAAGCGUUACUCGGAAUCACUGGGCGUAAAGAGCGUGUAGGCGGGUAUAUAAGUCAGAAGUGAAAUCCAAUAGCUUAACUAUUGAACUGCUUUUGAAACUGUGUACCUAGAAUGUGGGAGAGGUAGAUGGAAUUUCUGGUGUAGGGGUAAAAUCCGUAGAGAUCAGAAGGAAUACCGAUUGCGAAGGCGAUCUACUGGAACAUUAUUGACGCUGAGACGCGAAAGCGUGGGGAGCAAACAGGAUUAGAUACCCUGGUAGUCCACGCCCUAAACGAUGCACACUAGUUGUUGUGAGGCUAGACCUUGCAGUAAUGCAGUUAACACAUUAAGUGUGCCGCCUGGGGAGUACGGUCGCAAGAUUAAAACUCAAAGGAAUUGACGG
rnacentral:rRNA from 1 species